UACUUUUCUAAUACUUUUUUUCUCACACACGCUCUCUCUUAUUCUCUCUCUCUCUCUCUCUCUCUCUACAUGCUCUCUUAGGCUCUCCAGUUAAUCAACGGGGCCGGCAAAAUCAAAUCCAACGGCACCGACAAAAUCAUCGACUGUUAUUCAUUAGGUUCGUGAAUGGAAUUCUUGUUUGAUUUUGGGAUCAUUUUGACUGCAAUGGGCAGCCUCCUUGGAGUGAAAUUAGAAGUUGACUGUACAGGAAUUUGUCUCCAACAAGAGGAAGUUGCAGGCUGUAAGGCAGAGGAGAGAUAACAUUUCGGUUAGCAAUUUCAUUGUUAUAAGGGGCUCAAUCCGAACCAAAUGAUGAGGCUAAGCGCUUUUAUGGACAACUAGAGGAAGCUAGUCGCCCACUGUAUGAACGCCCAAUGCAUUCCACCAAAAGUUAUUGUCGGAACGGUGUGAAACAGCCGAAGUUCACAUUGCUAGAGUGAAAAAAUCCAUGAAAAAGCACAUGUCCUACUCUUAUGAUGAUGAAGAGACUGAAUCUGAUGUCUAGUAGUGUGUUUUGGUUUAGUAGUGUGUUUUGGUUGAUUAAAUGUUCUUGGAUGUUUAGAAUUUAUAAUUAGACUUUAUUUGUAAGUUUUGAUGUUGUGGUAUACCUGUUUAGACUUAAUUAUAUUAGAGUCGAUGUGUAUUAGCUACUUAGACUUGAUAUUGAAUGUUUAGAUUUUAAUUAAUAUUUUAGUUUGAUA